CGCGCAUACACACACACACACACAGAGCACCUGGAAUGAAGAGGAUGCUGUAUGCCUGACAACCAGGAUACACAACACUCAGCAGCAGCUGUUUCCUUCUGGCAAGGGAUAUGUCCCCACCAAGUGAACUAUGGACUUUAGCAGGAGGGACCAGAGUCCCAGAAGCAGACUAAUGGAGCUCUGUGGCCUGGUAGGAGCGGGAGGCCUGCUGGGCCCGUGUGCCUCAACCACACUUCCCUUCUCAAUGGGUAGUGCAGCCGCCCGGCCCACCGAGGCUCUCACACAGACCCUAAGGAAAGUACUUCAACCUCUUCAGCUCCCUUGGCUCCCUGAGAGAUCAAAGUUCUGAGAGGUGUGGAGUGGAAGUUGUUUGGGGAGCAGAGAGGCAAAGGUGUGGAAAUGAAGGCCACUGGAGCCUUCUAGCUGGAGAAGGCUUGACAAACUGCUCUGUUGGGACUUUGGUGGGUCUCAUGACCUCAGGAGGCGCCAUCCAAUGGUUGCUCAGUUGGCUGCUGGAGUCCUAAUGCUGCUCCAAGCAGGACAAGUUUAGGAAGAAAGGGGAAAAGGACAAAUGGGACCUCUCUCAACUGAAAGAGCCCCCUUGGAGACCUGCCUUUCUUUACCAUGGACCACUUCUAAGUCUCAAGAGGGACUGGGACUGUCUGAAGAUGAUGCUUGCCACUAACAAAAGCAAGAAAAACACAGAAUGCAGAGCCGAUGUCCAGAGCUUCAGCGGUAGCAUUGUUAAAGUAUUAAAAUAUCUCCAUAUUGAUGACAAA